GGGGAAUAUUGGACAAUGGGCGCAAGCCUGAUCCAGCCAUACCGCGUGGGUGAAGAAGGCCUUCGGGUUGUAAAGCCCUUUUGUUGGGAAAGAAAUCCAGCUGGCUAAUACCCGGUUGGGAUGACGGUACACAAAGCAUAAGCACCGGCUAACUUCGUGCCAGCAGCCGCGGUAAUACGAAGGGUGCAAGCGUUACUCGGAAUUACUGGGCGUAAAAGCGGCGUAGGUGGUCGUUUAAGUCCGUUGUGAAAGCCCUGGGCUCAACCUGGGAACUGCAUUUGAAACUGAAAGACUUGAGUAUUGGAGAGGCAAGUGGAAUUCCUAGUGUAGCGCUGAAAUGCGUAGAUAUUAGGAGGAACACCGGUGGCGAAGGCGGCUUGCUGGACAAAUACUGACGCUGAGGUUCGAAAGCGUGGGGAGCAAACA
rnacentral:rRNA from 1 species